rnacentral:lncRNA from 1 species
CCAAAUCUGUUAAAAACAACCGUUAAAUUUAACUAUUUGAGAGGUAACCGUGCGUAUAUUAGUUUUUAACAGCUACUUUACCCCGUGCCCCCUCAAAGUUUAUUUAUUAUAUUUUAAAAUUAUUUCUGAACACACACAAUGAUGUAAAAAUAUUUAAAAUAUAUAUUUAGAUUUAUAAUCUGAAUUUUUUUUUACAUAAACGAUGCGACUUAUUUUAAAAUAAACACAUAUUUUUAAAAAUUAUUUAAAUUUUUUUACAUCAUUGUGUGUUCAAAAAUAAUUUCAAAAUAUAAUACAUAAACUUUGAGGGGUCACAGAGGGUAAAAUAGCUGUUAGAAACUAAUAUACACACUGUUACCUCUCAAACAGUUAAAGUUAACGGCUGUUUUUAACGGAUGUGUGGGCCAGAGUUACAAACUGAAAGCUAAUCGAAACUUAGGGUUACAAACUACCACGUUUCAAAGUAUGGGGUCUGAUUUGCUAAUGAGCCAAAAUAUGGGGUUACAAAGUGCAAUAAGCUCUUCGUUUUUCCAUUCACACACAUAUAUGAUGAUCUUUAAUUUUCAGAUUAGAAUUUAUAUGAGAAAAACAGCAAAAUAAAGAAAUAGUUUGAGACGGAUAAGGAUAGAAAUAAAACUAUAAAUGGGCUUCUGAGGAGAUAGCAAAUGACCGAGCGAGCAUCUAGAUAUAUGUUGCCGGGUUUCUUUGCUUUCAAAGUCAGUUCUGGCCUUCUCGGAUUCUAAAAUUUUGAAAAAUAUUUAUAUAUUUUUAAAUUUUGUGAAAACACUUUUAUAAUUUUAUAAAAUUUUGAAUGGUAAAAAAAUUAGGAGAUACAAAUAUUCUCAUGCCUCUUACUGGAUACGCCCCAGGGGAGCAGGUUUAUCUUCCAAUUCGAUUUUUGUAAUUGUCUUCCCCAGGGGAGCAGGUUUAUCUUCCAAUUCGAUUUUUGUAAUUGUCUUCCCCAGGGGAGCAGGUUUAUCUUCCAAUUCGAUUUUUGUAAUUGUCUGACCGCAGAAAUUCAGAUACACUAGUACACAUCUGGCACGUACAACCUUAAAAGUAGACAGACCCUAAUCAAAUAGAAUUGACAACAUUUU